UCGAGUUUGUCGAAAUCACAGUUGAUGAUGUUGUUGUUCUUGAAAAAGUGAUAAAAAGAGGUUUUUCUUUUGUUUGUAACAGUCUAACAGAUGCACUCUCAUCAUAAAGUAAAACAAACAAAAGAAUAUGGUACUGACAGUCCAUUGUAAGACAUUUGAUCUAAUAGUUAAAAAUACAUUUUUUAGGCGGAGGACCUACUAUCCUUAUCCACGCUAGACUUUGCCGGAGAACAAACCAAGGAAAACAACCAUGGAUCCUGCGUGAAGAUGAUUUGGAGACAAUAGAGGAUGAAGAUGAU
rnacentral:lncRNA from 1 species